CUUCUUGAAUUGAUAUGAAGUCGUGCCUGCCCACUGAGUUAUUAAAUGGCCGCGGUAUAUUGACCGUGCAAAGGUAGCAUAAUCAUUAGUCUUUUAAUUGGAGGCUGGAAUGAAUGGUUUGACGAAACAAUAACUGUCUCAGGAUAAUUAAUUGAAUUUUAUUUUUGAGUCAAAAAGCUCAAAUAUUAGCAGGGGACGAGAAGACCCUAUAGAUCUUAAUAUUAUUAUAUUAAAGUAUAUGUUUAGAGGUAUUUAAUGUGUUUUAUUAUUUAAUGUUUUGUUGGGGUGACAAGGGAAUAAUUUAACUUCUUUAUAUUUUACUAUGAUGGUUGGUUAAUUGAUCCUAUUAUUAUGGAAUAAAGAUAAAGAUACCUUAGGGAUAACAGCGUAAUAUUAUUGGAGAGUUCAUAUUGAUAAUAAGGAUUGCGACCUCGAUGUUGGAUUAAGAAAAUUAUUAGGUGCAGGAGCUUAAUAUAUUGGUCUGUUCGACCAUUAAAUUCUUACGUGAUCUGAGUU
rnacentral:rRNA from 1 species